AACGAACGCUGGCGGCAGGCCUAACACAUGCAAGUCGAACGCUGCAGCAAUGCAGAGUGGCAGACGGGUGAGUAACGCGUGGGAACCUUCCCAAUGGUACGGAAUAGCCCAGGGAAACUUGGGGUAAUACCGUAUAAGCCCCAUGGGGGAAAGAUUUAUCGCCAUUGGAUGGGCCCGCGUCGGAUUAGCUAGUUGGUGAGGUAACGGCUCACCAAGGCGACGAUCCGUAGCUGGUUUGAGAGAAUGACCAGCCACACUGGGACUGAGACACGGCCCAGACUCCUACGGGAGGCAGCAGUGGGGAAUCUUGGACAAUGGGCGAAAGCCUGAUCCAGCCAUGCCGCGUGAGUGACGAAGGCCUUAGGGUUGUAAAGCUCUUUUGGCGGGGACGAUAAUGACGGUACCCGCAGAAUAAGUCCCGGCUAACUUCGUGCCAGCCGCCGCCGUAA
rnacentral:rRNA from 1 species